UAUAGUUUCAGUUCAUUUUUUUUAAAGACCUACUCCCUAUUUUAGUUAAAUAGUGUGUUUAAAAAAUGUGUUUAAAAAGCAUGAUUGGAGAUGCUCCUACUAUUAGUGUAUUAGACUAAAUAUAUGAUUGUUCCUAGUUGAGUUUUGGUCUUUGAAGUUUUUUUUUUAACAUACAUAUUGUAAUAUCGCGGAAAAUAGAAUAAUAUUUAAUUAGACAUAUUUUAUUAAAUAUGUAAUUAUUUUAGUAAUGAAGUAAGAUUAUGAUCUUUCUUAGAUCAGUUAGUGAGAAUCUAUUAAAUAAUUAUAUAAAGUGUAAUUUAUAAAUUACGGAGAUUAUAUUAAGAUAUGUGGGUAUCGUAGAUACUAUUUUUGAAAUAAAAAUAUUUUUUCUGGCCCGACGAUAGUGGAAACUUGACGAGGUAGUCAGAAAUGUCAUGACAUUAUUGGAUGGAUUAUUUUGAGUGUAUACCGGGCUAGUUUAGAAAAUUAGGUCGUUGUUUUGGCGGGAUUAGUUAAGAUUACCAAUUUACCCCUAGAGUAUGUUUAAUUUAAUUUAUGGGUGAGGGGUAUUUUAGUCUUUUCAAGGGUAAUUGUUUUAUUGUCUUUUGAUAAGUGGUGGGCUGAUUAUUAUGGGUGGUAUUUAUGUUUUAAAAAAAAAAGAAAAAGAAAAUUAAUUAAGAAGAUAAAAGCCUAGAGAAGACUAAGUCAAACAUCACCUAUCUUCUUCUCCCUUCCCUCUUGUUCGAACCCUAGAAACCAGCCACAAGCAAGGAUUUUCUUUAGCUUCUCCUUCAAGUUUUUGGAAGAUUUGAUCAAGCUUUGGGACUGUCUAAGUGUAGGGGUAAGUUUUCCUACCUAUUUAUUGAAUUUCCAUGAGUUUUGGGUGUAAUAUUAAGUUAGAAAUUGUUUGAAUUCAGGUCUGGAGUAAUUGUUGAAUUGUUGAAUGAAUCUGAAAGUCUAGUUGGAUUAAAUUAAGUAUGAUUUAUUAGUUAUUGGGUUGAAUUUGGAAAUAUUGAGUUUUGAACUCAAGCUUUGGUUUUAACUUGGUGUUUCAUGAAAUUCUUUGGAGUAUUGUUAAUUGAUAUGUGGGAUGAAUUGAUUUUAUGGUAUUAUAUUGCUUUGGGAAGUUUGAACAGGUAUGGAGGAGUUUUGUGUGGUUUUUGGGGCAAAAACUAGGUUUUCCGUUUCUACCAGCUGAGAAACCGGUUGACCGGUUUUGCUGUAAAACCGGUCAAUCGGUUUUGCCAGUGGGAGAAAAUUUUGGUUUUGGCCUCGAAACCGGUUUCCUUAUCAGGGUGUUUUUUAGAACCUAGAUUAGGGUAAUUUAGCGAUAUUUGAAUUGUCCUAAUCCAAAGGGAGUUAGAUGUCUAGUUAUGGAGAUUAGGGUUAGAUUUCAGCGUUUGGAUAAGUUAUUUACUGGAUUUUGUUGUUGUGGCAUAAGACCCGAGAUCGUCAAGCAUAGUUCCACUCAGGUCGGCCCGCAUACCUGAUUUUUGAAUUGAGGUAAGAAAAGUGUUAUGUAUCACUUAGGGUUAAGUGAUUAACAUGUGUAUUGUAAGCCUCGAUUAUGAUCGAGAUUCUAAUUAUUGGUUUGUUUAGCCUCAGUUAUGACUGAGGGUUGGGAAACGGUCAUUACCGUUAUGAGUAAUUACUUUUGAAACCGCGGAUAGGUUUCUUACUUAUUGUUUGCUUUAUCGGGCAACGGUAAUGACAUAUUCAGCUCAUGAUUAACGAGUGUCUUUGUGACUCACGGGUGCUGCAUGGUAAGGGAAGGCCAAAGCUGAACAACCAUGAGUUUUGAAGGUCGUAGCAGCAAUGUACAUAUCAGCCGUAGUGUUACGGCUCAGUGAUCAGGGUGUUCUAUUUUGAAAUAUAAACCUAUGAUGUAAAAAGCACUGUUAAACCGGUUUGUAAAUAUUUUGGAAACAGGGGGUCCCCAAAAAGAUUAGUAAUUAUCUUUAAUGAAAAUAAUGUGUUUACUUAAAUUAAAAA